GGAGCAGCGCUGUCUGACAGUUGACGUGAGAUGUGUUUCCUGCUCUGAGCUGAGUCACAAAUGCCCUCUACUCUCCCCGAAAGGUUAGCAACUUACCCAGGUUUCUAGAUUUGGAAAUGGUGGAGAUUCUGACCUCAGGAGAAAAGACCUUCAAGCUCACACUACUAAGCUGCCAGCCUCCAAAGUGCACGUGAUGACUGCCUUUGUCAGCACAGCCAUGAGGCACUUGCAUACCUCCUCGACAUCACUGAGUUGGGGGCCAGACACUGGGCUGGGUGAUGGGGACACAGUGGUGACUAAGGCAGGGCCCGCCCUCAGGUCAUGCACAGAACUGAGGCGGGAAAUAUACAUUGAUGUUGUUCUUUUCAUUGCACAAAAGAGAAAACUGACACUUUGAGAGGUCGAAAGGCAUUUCUGAAUUUUACACGCAAUGAAGCAUGCAAAAGCUUAGCACAGUGACUGACAUGUAGUAAAGCUUGAUAAAUGUCAGCUGUUGUUAUUAUUUCCAAAGUCACAUAGCUAGUCCGUACAAAGCUGUGGCUCAAAUCCAGCUCUUCUGGUUCAAACCUCAAUGUUCCUUCAAGAGAAGUGCCUGGCAAGGAAGAGCCUGGCUAUGCAGAGGUGGGUUCGGGUUGUGUGGUUCCUGAAGCUUAUACAACUUGCGGCGAGCUCUUUAAGAAAAAUAAAAAUUAUAAAAUAUACGAAAAUAUAUGGCCAUGUGAAUGCAUGGCUAGGGCCUAUUCCAAAGUCCUAGAAGAGCCCACGCAAGCCGGGCCCUGAAGCUUAAGCUUUCUUACCUCCGUAGCAAGACCACUUCUGCUACCACAUGUGGAAGAUUUGCUACCUGCGUGGUGGGCUGGCUGGCUGGCCACCGAGGUCCCUUCAGAGACUGAGAUUUUGUGAUUCUGUGUCCUAAAGUCUAUGCAGGAGCACUGCACUCAGAAGCAGGCCAGGGGGCUCCUGCUCUGGCCCAGUGCUUUAGAGGGCUCUGCCAUAUCACGUAUAUCCACAGCAGAGACAUCUGACGGACCAGUGACUCCCAGGACACAGCACUGCCUGGACCCAAACAUUCACUCUCAUGACCAACACCAGUCAGGCCCCAAGGAAAUGCUUCUUCACACCUCUUACCUUAUGUUCUCGAAGCCAAAAGCUCUGGAACCCUAAUGCUGGGAAGGUUUGUAGGUUGUACAACUGCCACAUGGGAGACAACACUGCUUUCAGGGCAGGGCACAGGAAGGAUUCAGAAUUAGCUCAUCCAAGCUUUCUUCUCAGAUCCAAUGAAUGUAAUAGACUCCUACCUAACAAAGUAUCCUUUCCCAGAAAUGCCAAGUGUCCCUAUUCUUGUAUUUCUUCCUGUUCCAAUUCAUGGUCCUGGACAUACACGAGUUAGUGCAGUAUUCACAAAACCUGCAUGUGGCAUUUGAGGACUGUUUUGUAAGAAUGAUUCUCAUUAACUCUUAUAUUUUUGCACGUUUAUAGGUCUAGACGUAACAUGUAGCAGCAUGGUACCAGUUCUUUCCAUCACUCUACAGCAGCAGUGCUCAAAGUAUGGUCUGAGGAUUCCUGGGAGUUGUUGAGCUCUUCUAAGGAGUCUGUGGGGGUCAAAAUCAUUUUCCUAAUACAGGUUGUGUAGCCCUAACCUGAGAAUCCAAAAACUGAAAUGCUCCAAAUUCUCAAGCUGUUUGAGACUCAACAUGACCCUACAAGUAGAAAAUUCCACACAGGACCUCAUGUGACAAGUCAUAGUCACAAUCCAGACAAAACUGUUUCAUGCUCAAAAUUAUCAAAAAUAUUUUAUAAAAUUACCUUUGGGCCAUGCGUAUUAGGUGUAUAUGAAGCCUAAGUGAAUUCUGUGUUUAGACUUGGGUCCCAUCCCAAGAUAUCUCAUGAUAUAUGUGCAAAUAUUCAAAGAAAACAUCUGAAAACCAAAACAUUUCUGGUCCCAAGCAUUUUGGAUAAGGGAUACCUAACCUGUAAUGCUAAGAUAUCAUUUGCCCUUUUCAGGCUAAUUCUCUCACGAGUGUACAGUGGAAUUUUCCAGAAGUUACUCAGUGUGUGAUGUCACCAUCACUCUGAUGACUAAUGGGAUGUGUGCUUGUGUGUUGGGUUUUAAAAGUUAUCAGUUUUAAUUUCUAAUUUGGCAAAAAUUGAUAGUUAUAAUUUAUAUAAACAAAAGGGGUCCUCAAAAGGGGUCUUUGGGGUCCUCAGUAACUUUUAAGAGUAUAAAGGAGUUCCAACCUCAAAAAGCUUGAGACUUGUUUGAUAUUGCUUUAAGAAAUUUUCAUGAUGUACAGGAUAGCACUUUGUAUGAUGAAAUAAAAACAUUUUUGUAA